UAGGGAAUCUUCGGCAAUGGGGGCAACCCUGACCGAGCAACGCCGCGUGAGUGAAGAAGGUUUUCGGAUCGUAAAGCUCUGUUGUAAGAGAAGAACGUGUGUGAGAGUGGAAAGUUCACACAGUGACGGUAACUUACCAGAAAGGGACGGCUAACUACGUGCCAGCAGCCGCGGUAAUACGUAGGUCCCGAGCGUUGUCCGGAUUUAUUGGGCGUAAAGCGAGCGCAGGCGGUUUAAUAAGUCUGAAGUUAAAGGCAGUGGCUUAACCAUUGUUUGCCUUGGAAACUGUUAAACUUGAGUGCAGAAGGGGAGAGUGGAAUUCCAUGUGUAGCGGUCAAGUGCGUAGAUAUAUGGAGGAACACCGGUGGCGAAAGAGGCACUCUGGUCUGUAACUGACGCUGAGGCUCGAAAGCGUGGGGAGCAGACAGC
rnacentral:rRNA from 1 species